GUUCUCUGAGGAUGGCACCUGGAGAGUUUCCAGUACUCUACCAGUCUCAGCUAUGGGAGGGAGAGUAAAGCAGAGGCCUACCUAUUCCAUUCCUAGCUUGGCCAGUGGCUAGCAAGUAGAAGGAAAUCUGCUACAAGU
rnacentral:snoRNA from 1 species